rnacentral:sRNA from 1 species
UUUUAAGUUCUAGGGCACUAUAUUAUCAGUAGCUAAGGUUAACAACCCUUCUUGUUGAGUUGUCCUAAGUGGUUUAUUCCAUAGUAGUUGCUCCCAUACAAUGUGGGUAGUUGAACUGAGUGAUCACCAGUUGCUUCAGACAGUUUUUUUUUUUUAUGGUGUUGAGGUAUUCACAGGACUGACUUAAAAACAAACCAACAGAAGUUUUAGCUAAGGAAACCUCCCAGAGUGCUUUUGUGCAAAAUCUAAUUUUGAUUUUAGAGUUAAUAAGCUUGGAAAAUAGAAAUAAAUCAAUUUUAACUCUUGUCUCUUUUAUACAUGUUCAGGUUUUGUAGGUUUGUUUAAUCUGCUGCUCUUAUGGCCAGGUUUCUUUUUACUUCAUUAUACUGGAUUUGAGGACUUCGAGUUUCCCAAUAAAGUAGUAUUAAUGUGCAUUAUCAUUAAUGGCCUUAUUGGAACAGUACUCUCAGAGUUCCUGUGGUUGUGGGGCUGCUUUCUUACCUCAUCAUUGAUAGGCACACUUGCACUAAGCCUUACAAUACCUCUGUCCAUAAUAGCUGACAUGUGUAUGCAAAAGG